UGAAUGGGGAAACAUCAAAUUCUCCAAAGCUGUUUGCCAAGCUUUCAAUUAAAUUUCAUAUUUGAAAUCACCAAUGAAAUCUGACAACAACUGUCUCAUAAAUUUUGUUUCUAAACGUUCGAAUCAUGGCAAAAAAACAGGUAUUUUUCAGGCGGGAUCAACCUAAUGCGCAUGCGCAGUCCUAAAUGCGCGUCUCUUGUGCCUCAUUUCUGAGGCGCGCGUCUGAAUUUCUAAUGGCCGCUGCAGUGACGCGAUGACUUUACCAAUCGGCGACUGGCUCUUAUUUAGAAGGCGGGACUUAUUCCACCAUAUUUGUGCGUUUACACGGUCGUCGAGGAUACACAGAGCGAACGUGGAAAGCGUAUCAAAAUUCGAUUUCUAGUAUAAAUGACAGGCGUAAUCGUAGCAAAUCUUAAGCGUUUUAAAACGAAAACGCACUAGUGUAAACUGGGCCUGAGAAAAAUUAAUUAGAGGGGUAAGUUGGAACAUGAGUGAAUCUCACAAGGCUUGUAGUUCAUUUAUAAUAGUUUUUUAAUCAUUACUGAUAUCAUUCUUUUGAUUUUGGGGUGAAAUAUGACGUAGUUUUCAUGAGAAAUUAUAUUCUGUUAAAUGAUAUGCCAGCCAACUAAAAAGAGCCUUCAACAGAUUUACAGUCAGUCUGAUUUUUAGUAAACUGUUGAAUCUCCUCAAACAGUCAACAUGACAAGAUUAUAAUGAAGAGAACAGCUGGCCUCUCAGAGCUGGCAAAUGUCAGAUGAGGGAGAAUGUUAUUAUAAAAUCUAUCGUACUUUCAUCACAACUGAGGCUGCAGUCAUGCUAGUAUUAUGAGCUGAAGUUCACCCUUGCUUUUUACCUUAUGCCCUCCAAAUGCCAACCAGCCACUAUCCAUUUCAGUGUAGUGGCAGAAUCCAUCAGCGAGCAAUAACUACAGACAGAGUGUUUCAUCAAAUUAUAGCAAUAUUCUGGCAGCAAUAACAGCCAUGCCCAAGCAAAACCAACACCUCAGCUAGCCGAAAAAAACAUCCAUGAAUAACUCACAACGAAAAUAUGAGUGGAUUCUAAGAACGACUGACAUAUGUACUUAUUUUAACAUCACCCGAAUUAUAUUAGUGAACUUUGGAUAAAGAAUAAAAACAGGAACUGGACAGAUGUCCCAAUCCCUGCAAACAUGUCCAUAAUCUCACUGCCUCGUGUUCUCUCGUCCAGAAAGUGACUGUGCCCUGCCUGUGUUCAUUUACGAUAUCUAACUAUGAAUGAAAUCUCUCUGUACACUCAAUGUGACCUACUCUGCAGUAUGCAUUUGCUUUUGCGAAACUUAGAGAUGUUUAUACGUGUGAGGAACGUGACGUGUAAGGCGUGACUGUCGGUGCAUGGCCGCGCGUGUGUGUGUACGUGUGAACGCAUGCAUAUAUCUUCGUCUCUCCACGGACAAUGAUGUAGUUGGGGGUAAUAAUGUAUAUUCCCCAUAGACCUGCAUGGGCUAGAGUGGCUACCAGUCUUCCCAUCGCACCCUCCUUACAUCGUGCCUGCGGGUCGGACACACCCUUGUGACCUUUUUUGCCUGAGUGACCUCUAUACGAUUCCAUUGAAACAGCACAUGAGCGGUAGCAAGCUGGUAUGUGAGUUUUAAUAGGGCUUAGCAUGGAGAUGAUGACCGGUCUGUUGCAGGUCACAUCUGACCUUUGAGGAAUAGUUUAUUUUGCUAUAUUCAUUGAAAGUCUCUAUUUUCCCCUCUUAGUCUGGUUUCUUUAAGAAUUCCUGAGAUUUUAUUUUGUAAUCUGAUGCGCUGUACAUCCUCUUCUGAAUGUAUUGACAAAGACGUUCUCAUCAUUGCGAUGGUAUUCUACCGAUCGUCUUGAUCCUGUAAAUAAGGCAUGUGACUUUAAGGAGGCAUGAUGGCAUGUCUCACCUGGUGUCAUAGAGCGCUGCAGUGAUGCAUAUAUUUGCAGGCCAAUUUGUAGGCCCGGAAUUUAACAUCACCUUGGUUCCCUCUGCAAAAACCCAAUAGGAUUUUUUCAUUGAAUUUUGGAUUAUUGCAGGAAAUAAGUUCUGUGACCAACAAAGGUUUAUGAUUCUUACAGGUUUUGUUCACAAAACUUUUAUGACUUUUGAAGCCAGAAUACAAUUGCCAGAAAUAGAUAGCUAAACGUUAGAUGUGUAAAAGAACAUCAGCGCCAUCCUCUGUAAUAUCGCGUUUAUGCCAUGUUGUAAUUACCAUAAUUUCGAGAUGACAACACAUGACGUUCUACUCGGAGCUGUUCACAUCCUCAGACAGGGAAUUAUGCAUUUCUAUGUGUAACCAGUCCUUUUCGACUUGCCCCAAGCGGGAUUUGAACCGGCGUCUCCAGCAUGGGAGGCGGGUGUGCAAACAAGGACGCUAAAGACCCAUCUCUAGCAUGCCUCUUCAGAUCAGGGGAGUGAGGUUUACUAGCCAGCUUUCAUUACACUCACCUCCCUAAACCUCACUUCCAUCUGGUUAACGGCACCAAUGUAACCGGUCUUGCUUGACCUGCUCUGAGCGGGAUUCGAACCGGCGUCUCUGGCAUGGAAGGCGCGCAUGUAACAAGGAAGCUAAAGACCAGUCUCUAGCAUGCCUUUUGAGAUCAGGGGAGUGAGGUUUACUAGCUGGCUUUCAUUACAUUCACCUCCCUAAACCUCACUUCCAUCUGGUUAACAGCACCAAUGUAACCAGUUUUGCUCGACCUGCUCUGAGCGGGAUUCGAACCGGCAUCUCUGGCAUGGAAGGCGCGCACGUAACAAGGAAGCUAAAGACCAGUCUCUAGCAUGCCUUUUGAGAUCAGGGGAGUGAGGUUUACCCACACUGCUCUUACUAGCUGGCUUCCGUUACACUCAUCCCCUAAACCUCACUCCCAUCUGGGUCACGGCAUCAAUGUAACCAGUCUUGCUCGACCUGCUCUGGGGUGCAUUUCCCAAAAGCAUCAUUAGCCAACUAUGGUUGCAAGUUCCAUUGAACUUUAUUGGUAACGAUGGAACUUGCAACCAUAGUUGGCUCUGGGAAAUGCACUCCUGAGUGGGAUUUGAACUGACGUCUCUGGUAUGGGAGGCAGAUGCGUUAACAAGGAUGCUAAAGACCAGUCUCUAGCAUGCCUCUUGAGAUCAGGGGAGUGAGGUUUACUAGCCGGCUUUCAUUACACUCACCUCCCUAAACCUCACUUCCAUCUGGUUAACGGCACCAAUGUAACCGGUCUUGCUCGACCUGCUCUGAGCGGGAUUCGAACCGGCAUCUCUGGCAUGGAAGGCGCGCACGUAACAAGGAAGCAAAAGACCAGUCUCUAACAUGCCUCUUGAGAUCAGGGGAGUGAGGUUUACCCACACUGCUCUUACUAGCUGGCUUCCGUUACACUCACCCCCCUAAACCUCACUCCCACCUGGGUCACUGCACCAAAUGUAACCGGUCUUACUCCACCUGCUCUGAGCGGGAUUUGAACUGACGUCUCCGUCAUGGGAGGCGGAUGCGCUAACAAGGUUGCUAAUGACCUCUAGCAUGCCUCUUGAGAUCAGGGGAGUGAGGUUUACCCACACUGCUCUUACUAGCUGGCUUCCGUUACACUCACCCCCCUAAACUUUACUCCCAUACGGGUCAUGGCACCAAUGUAACCAGUCUUGCUUCCACCUGCUCUGAGCGAGAUUCGAACCAGUGUCUCUGGCGUGGAAGGCGGGUGCACUAAGACCACAGUCUCUAGUGUCUGUCGCUAGUGUACCUCUUGAGAUCAAAGGAGUGAUCUCAAGUAAGCUUUUUACAAGUUGAAAUCUCGUAAUUAUGGUAAUUAUGACAUGGCAUGAACACUCAUUCAAUCUUUAUUUAAAAAGAAUUUUUUCAUAUGAGUUAGAAGAAUUCGCAAGAGCAUGAUUAUAAACACAGUGAGGUUUGUGAAAGCGACUAGUGAGUAGAUGAGUUUUCCUGUUUGGCAUGAUGACGUUUAAUGUCCCCAAAAAACUCUGUAGUCCCAUUUAACCACUUGUUAACCUUUUUCAAAACAUGUAAAAGCUUUUAAAAAAAAUCUGAAGGGGGUAUUACUGACUUGAAAAUAUCUUUAGCUUGUGUUAACCACGGACCUUAUUUCAGGCAUUUAACCAAACACCCAUUGAUUUCAGGAUGAUGCAAGCGGAGGUGCUAAAAUACUAACUUGUUUCCGGCCUACAAAAAUACAUAAUCUCUGCUGCACUCUAUUCUGCAAAAGUUAACCUUGGGCCACAUUCCAGUGUCUCCUGUUGCCUGGGCAUGCUUGUCUACAGCGGAUUGAGAGGGUUAAUGCCUGAUGCACAUGACUGGGAGAUUAUCACGUUGGCUUUUGGGGGUUAGUUUUCUGACUAAAACAUCAUAUCUCCGUCUGUUUUUGAAAAGAGCUUUGUAAAAUGAUGUUAUCAUGCUUUGUGCCUGAUCUCUGAUGGAUUUUCCACAUGCAGAUGGACGUUUGCCUAUUGAAACCAUUAUAUAAGUAGACUUGUAUCCAACUGUAGAUGAUUGUGUUCUGUAAUCCAAUGUAAGAGCUUGAAAAUGUCCAACCGAAGGGCUCGGAUGGGAGUCUGUCUCCUGUUGUGGUUUAUUUGAAGAGCAUAGAAGAGGAAAUCACCUCUGGGUCCCACCUCUGGUUUGGUGUCUUGUGAGGAAACUUUCUACAUUUACAGUAAGAUUCAGACUCGUUCUGUACUUUAUUUAGAUACUAGAAUCGAAAUCUUGAACAAUCCGAGGAGCAGUCGGGUGCAUCGGUUUCAGCAUCUUGUGUACACGUAUGCGUAGUUUUAACUGUGAAAUGCACUUUAUUUUUUUGAUGAGAAAAGGCACAACAAAUUACUUAUCUGCAAAACAAUAUUAUAAGAAUUAUAAUCAACAUGCACUAAUUAACAUUGUAUAACAUUGUGUUAAUGUGUUGUAUAUUUUUCCAAGGUGUUGGUUGUAUACUUUUAUUGCUUUGGUUAGUUUAAUGAACUGAGAGAUCUUGUUAAUUUUGUAUUAAAAAGAAUGUGCUGUGCAUUAAAAA